UUUCAUCCUUGAAUUUUCAUCCUUUUCACUUUAAAGGACGUGAAUGAGAACCGAAGUGUUUGAAUUACUCUAAAGUAUUCAGGAAUGUUCUGAUGUAUUGACCUUAAUGGGAAAAUAAUGUUUACGUAAAUGUGGCCAGUGAUGGGGGAAGGGAGUGUGUGUGAGAGAGAAUUCAAAAACACCUUAUUUGACCUUGUCAGCUCCAGUCAUGGCCCUCCAGGGCGGAUGGGUGAUGCUCACCUGGAAGAUAACGCAGAAAAUGCAGAUUCGCAGCACUGGGCAUGAGAGAUGUGUAUUUACAUGACAGAGGUCUCAAAGUGAACCAACGCACGACUGUCCUGCUGUGAGCUGCACUGGCUCUGCACUUUUGCGUGUUUCUGUGAGCGUGUGUGGUAAAGAGAUAUAUAACAGGCCAGUGGUGUUCACAUAUCUUCUGCGUUGAUCCAGCACACAGAUACAGAUGAAGAGCGCUUAAAGCGCGCGCUAAAGGCAGAGUGUAUUCGUGUGCUGCGCUCUUCCAGCAGUGUGAGUGAGUGAGUGAGUGAGUGCGCGCGCGUGCGGUCUCCUCAGUACCGCCCGCUCGAGCGCUUUUCUCUUCCCGACGGUCGCUAAUGAACCGUUUUAAGCCCGGAUAGCACGGACAGCGGACCGGAGCCGUCAGCCGCCCCUUAAUAUGACACAGUUGGACGCGGCUGUCUUUACGGGAAUCAUCUUUUAACGGAGGAGCGGCGGAAGAGCGACAUCUCUUCUCUUCUCUGAUGACGUGUUUACUGGCGCGAGGGCGGGACAACCUGUCAAUCACAUGACAUCACAGCAAUAGCAAACCACAAUGAUCCAAUCAAAUCCUGAUGGACUAAAUAAAGUCCCGCCCUACAUAUUUUCUUGUUGCUGUUUCGCUUGGAUAUUUGUCACAAUAGGGAAGAAAAGACUAUUGCAACUUCCGUUUCAUGCUGACUUUAAGUACUUCAAUAUAGUAAUCGUUUAGUACCAUGAUAAUUAUGAAAGCACCAUCAUCAUGCACCAUGAUACUGUAGGAGUACUUUUUUUUGUGAAACAGUUUUAAUUGUUAGCAUCAUAUCAGUUGAUGUCAGAUCGAUCUGUUUUAUCAGUGAAUAUCUGUCUUGGGGAAAGGACACAUUUUAUGCACAAAUCAGAUGUUAUCCUGAAUUAAAUCCAAUCAGAAUUUUCUUUAAGCAGCCAGUUUAUUAGUUAUGGUUUUUCUAUUACUUCUAAUUGCUUUAUAUCAAAUACAUUUGGUCUAGUCUCCAAAACAAUGCCAUUUCAAGUCAUUACAAUCAUCCAUGUGCUUUUUAAUUAUUAAUACAGUCUAUAAUAAUAACAUUGUGUAACGCUGGUAUAAUAUAUCUUCCUGUAGUGUGAUGUGACUUUAUCUGUUAGCCUACAUCAUUGUAUGUGGAAAGUAUAGAUUAAAGUAAGAAUAUACUGCUUUAAUGAAAAGAUACAUAUAGUACAGAUAGUAUUGUUUUGUGGUCUUUAACCAUGUAGUAAGGUAAUUGCCAUUAAGCAGGCGUUUUUUUUCUGUACAAAUUGACAUAUAGUACAUUAAUUCGAAGAACAAUAAUGCACUGUGGUAUUAGAUUUCUUACUCAGUGGCUCAAUGAUGAUAUAGUAUUGCAUUCUCAGUAAUUUUUUACAUCUUGGAUCUUGCCUUGUGGAAGUGAACCUGUAGCCUAACCUUCAUGCAAACUUCAGGGCAUUAGCAGUAGUAUUUAAGUAAAGCUUUUAUGGAAUAGGCUGUCUAUUAUCAUACAACACCUAGUAUGCUGAUAUGUAUGCUAAUAUUGAUGCUUUUAAUUUUAAAUUCCAGUGUUUAUGAUUUAGUUUGUAUUAGAAAGAUGAAUAUGGUAUAAUGCUGUGCUGUGGUAAGGCACUUUGACUCAAUGACGUGAAAUGUGUUCUCUCAGAGCUCAUAGAAUAUUAAGAAGAAUAUAACACCCUUCACACACACCCUCAGCUUCAACUUUCCCAGCAUUCUCUGUCUACAAACCCCCACCUUUUUUUUUGUCAGUCAUGUUAUUAGUAAAAAUUAGUUCAGUCCAUUUGAUUUGAGCAUUGCACAUAGAAGCUUUUUUUGCAGGUGAAAUAUGUGAUUUUGUGCGCCACUAAUGAUGCAUAUUUUAAACAGCAAUUUAAGUGUCCUUUUGAAGGCCAAUUACACACUUUUUAUGUCUCUUUCACAAUUGUUUGCAAGAAACAUAUUUUAACUAUUGCAAAAUUUAAUUAUAUUACAGCGGAUGUUUUACUAAUGCUCAAAAAUGCAAAAUGGACUUAAAUUUAUCCUUGUCUGCUGUCUUUUACGUCACAGCUCAGGACUAGAGAAGGGUCUGGGACUGCACAUUCUCAUCAGCCAUUCAGCUAACAGUAGCAUUCUCCAGGUACUAUAGAGUGUACAACAGUCGGGUUCUGGAAAUAAAAAUCCCAUUUAUAUUCUACAUAGGGGAAUAGAUUUUUAACGAUAACUUAUAAACCUUUAAAGACAGACCUACUGUGAGCUAUGAGGUUAUUAUUCAUUGGUAUAUGCUUUUGUUGAAGCCAUCAGCCCACAUUGUUUCAACUUAUUUGUAAUUGUGUUUAACAGUGUAAUUCCUUGCGGGGGAAAAAAAACUACAUUACCCAUGAUUCUGUAAAGAACUCUCCAGCCAUUGAAUCAAAACAAACAAAUUGCACCAAACAAACUCUAUAGCACCUGUCCACUUCCAUGAAGCACUGCAACACUCUCAAACGCUCUCAAAUAUUUGUAUCUAUGUAUGUAUAUUUUGCAAUAAACCUAAAAUAUAUUGA